rnacentral:rRNA from 1 species
ACGAACGCUGGCGGCGUGCUUAACACAUGCAAGUCGAACGGUGAAGCGCCUUCCUUUUUGGUGGGUGUGGAUGAGUGGCGAACGGGUGAGUAACACGUGAGUAACCUGCCCCCUUCUUCUGGAUAACCGCAUGAAAGUGUGGCUAAUACGGGAUAUUCUGGGUCUGUCGCAUGAUGGGUCUGGGAAAGAUAUUGUUUCGGUGGGGGAUGGGCUCGCGGCCUAUCAGCUUGUUGGUGGGGUGAUGGCCUACCAAGGCGGUGACGGGUAGCCGGCCUGAGAGGGUGGACGGUCACACUGGGACUGAGACACGGCCCAGACUCCUACAGGAGGCAGCAGUGGGGAAUAUUGCACAAUGGGCGCAGGCCUGAUGCAGCGACGCCGCGUGAGGGAUGGAGGCCUUCGGGUUGUGAACCUCUUUCGCCAGUGAAGCAGGCCUGCCUCGUUUGUGGGUGGGUUGACGGUAGCUGGAGAAGAAGCGCCGGCUAACUACGUG